rnacentral:piRNA from 1 species
UUCCCACAAGCUCCCAGAGUCUGGUAGGAGU